GAAGGGGACGUGUAACUAUUACGAAGGUGCUCAGGUGCAGCUACCUGGAGGACUGAGUAGCAGACAGAUGGAUGCUGAAGAGAAUUUGGAGCCAUCUGUGUCAGAGCAGCAAACACACGAUUACUCCAGAAUUCAGAUUCAGACAGGAUUGUUUGCAGUCCCGACUCCUUGCUUGUUACAGCUGAUUCCCUAAACAACUUUAAAUCAAAAUUCAAGCCAUGAUUUCUUCCCCUUUGUUCUGCUGGUUUUGGAGCACUGCUAUUCCUACCCAAGGCUGCUUGGGAGUCAUCUAGCGCUCAAGCCACUCUAUCUUUACCAGGCAGAGGAGAGAAACGAUGCUGAGUAUAUUUCCAGUUCUUUGCAUGUUGGGCUUCUAACUCCACACCACCGACUUGUUUCUCCUGCUGUGCCCUGGAUGGAAUUAAAAGAGUGAGCAGGUAGUCAACUUGACAGAACUCAAGCUCCAUACUCAAUUUCCCCUGCACUCCGAGCAAUCAUUUAAGAAGUCUGAUCACCCUACUAGAGAGACCACAUGGAGAAAUUGUGAGACGACAUGGAGAGAGAGAGAGAAGCCCGGCUGCACCCAUGGUUCCAGAAAUCCCCACCAAGACGCCAAGCAUAAAGGAAACCAGAACCAUCCUGGCUCCACCAGAUCAACCUAGCCGCCAGCCGGAUGCUGCCGAGUGGCUCCAGUAGAUGCCACGUGGGGCAGAAAAACUGUCCAGUAAGCCUUGCCCAAAUUUCUCACCCACCCAUUCAUUGCAAUAAUAAAAUGAUUAUUGUUUUCAGUCCCAA